GGGGAUUUAGCUCAGUGGUGUAAGUGCCUGCCUGGCAAGCACGAGGUUGUGAGUUCGAUCCCCGUUACCCCA
rfam:Cavia porcellus supercont2_17 genomic scaffold, whole genome shotgun sequence.